rnacentral:lncRNA from 1 species
UAAUGCCUUGCCUAUAAAGCACAUUAGCUUGGCAUUCAGAGAAAAAAAAGGGAGAAAAAAUCUGAAACUCAAGAAUGGCUAAGAAUUUUAUAGAAAACUACUGUUCCAUUGGAUUUUUUUUUCUAUAAUUCUUGAGGUUUUGAAUAUCCGAAGCAAUCUCUGAUUCACAUGGGGUUGAGGAUGGUUUAAUUUGGUUUUUGAAAGCUGAUUCUGGGCUGAAUUUGUGUUGGGAGUCCUGAUUUAUAAUUUUCUUAGCUCCCCUUGCCUAGCUAUUAUUCCUGAAAGAUCACAAGUACUUAUCUGGGUUGAAGAUGGUCUGCUUUUGGUUUUUUAAAACUGAUUUUGAACUACUGAGAGACUAUUGUUUCAUUGCUGCUGCUGACACUGUCCUGUUAUUGCUGAUCUUUUUCCUUUUCUGUCAUUUUGCUUUCCAGGUAUUCUCAAACACCAUGGACAUCACUUAAGUAUAUUUGAAGUUUGGAAUCUGAAAAUUGAUCAAGAACCGCAGAUGUUCACAUUGAAUCUUAGUCGUUUCCUUUCAAUUUCAUGUACGCUUGUAAUAUUUAUCAUUAGAAAUGUUUUGACUCGUAAAUAGAGCAUGAGCUGAUUGUCACAGCAUAAAACUGAAGUUUUGAGUGAUUUGAUUUUCUUGUUUAGCAUCAGUCGUGUUGAAAAUAGCUAUGGGUGAGAGAAGUAUCUUUGUUGGUAAUGGUAAUAACACUUUGACUGGUUUGAAUAGUUGGCUAGUGUUUGAAUGAUAUAUAAUUAAGUUUGGUCAAGGUUAAAGUCCAGCAUGUUUAGUUAUGAUUUGGUAUAAUAAUUAGAAUGAGACAUAAAGCCAAAUAAUGUUGCCUUGUAUUUGAAUGAGAC